UACGGAGGGUGCAAGCGUUAUCCGGAUUCACUGGGUUUAAAGGGUGCGUAGGCGGUCUGGUAAGUCAGUGGUGAAAUCUCCGAGCUUAACUUGGAAACUGCCGUUGAUACUAUCUGCCUUGAAUAUUGUGGAGGUGAGCGGAAUAUGUCAUGUAGCGGUGAAAUGCUUAGAUAUGACAUAGAACACCAAUUGCGAAGGCAGCUCGCUGGACAUAUAUUGACUCUGAGGCACGAAAGCGUGGGGAUCAAACAGG
rnacentral:rRNA from 1 species